AGGAAACUGACAAAGAAAAGUCACAUUUGCAAUCCUGGAAGAAAGCUAGGUGUCCUUUUGUAAAGAGGUGUUAUAUGGGGUGUUGUGUCGGAAUGACUUAUUCUGUGCUCAUUAGUAAACCGUACUCAUAAUUCGGAAAAGUAAUUAAUUCCUGACAUUCUAAAUGCAAUAUCAGGUGAUUCACAUUGGGAUUCGCAGCAAAUGAGAACAUUCAAAGAAGUCAUUGGCUCCCAUGGAAAGGGUAUAAAAAGCAUCCGCUGCAAUGCGGUCACUAUCGUUCCACUCGCUUCUGUCACUCGCUUCUGUUCCCAUCUGCAGCUCCAUGAAUCCGAAUUUCUUCGCAUCCAAAAUGUCCUGUGACGGACAACAGUGCUAUGCGUACUGUCCAGCCUCGACAGUGACCAUCCAACCACCUCCCUUUGUAAUCUCCAUCCCAGGACCAGCUCUGUAUUGUCCCGACCAGCCGUUGCACAUUGACCAAUGCAAUCCAUGUGUUUCCGGAGGUCUGGCAAAUGCUAGUCGUGCCGGAUCCCACCGUUCUUUGUUCAGCACCAAGUUUUACUCUCCAGGCAGCCUGCCAUGCCCUCAAGGCAGCUGUAGCAGCAUCUACAGGUCAUAAAAUGAACGACUAUGCGUGGAAUCCUCAAAGAUGAACGUGAAGUCAACAGCAUGAAGAAACUACUGAAGAUCUCCUCAUCUGGUCACAUUUCUGGCUGGAUGAUGGCUGCUCAUCACUCUCUAUAUCUCCCUGAUCCAGAUCGCAGCUUCUGUAUGAUGAGUUCAAAAGUUGGCACAUAAUUUCAACAUUAAUUUGUCUGAUUUACUAAGCCACCUGCUUGUCUGAUGUACUAAUCUCUAAACCUUCUCUUAACUUAUCUCUACUAAUAUCAACAUGAAUUGCAUUUGAUGUUGACUUGAUGUGGAAAUGUACAACUGGAAAUGCUACUCCAAAUACAUUUAUAUUGAAUUCCAUCCUGAAUAGAAGCUGAAGGCUUAUCGCUGCGGAUUUCCAAUUGCUUUUCAAUAAACUUUUCAUUGCAGUCU